GACGAACGCUGGCGGCGUGCCUAAUACAUGCAAGUCGAACGCAGUGGGUACGGGUUAGUAACACGUGGGUAACCUCCCAUCAGAGGGGAUAACAUUUGGAAACCGGUGCUAAACCGAUAGUGAUGGAUGGACCCGCGGUGCAUUAGCUAGUUGGGGAGGUAACGGCUCACUAAGGCGACGAUUCAUAGCCGACCGUAGAGGAGGAUCGGCCACACUGGGACUGAGACACGGCCCAGACUCCUACGGGAGGCAGCAGUAGGGAAUAUUCGGCAAUGGACGAAAGUCUGACCGAGCAAUGCCGCGUGAGUGAAGAAGGUUUUCGGAUCGUAAAACUCUGUUGUUAGAGAAGCGGUAUCUAACCAGAAAGCCACGGCUAACUACGUGCCAGCAGCCGCGGUAAUAC
rnacentral:rRNA from 1 species